rnacentral:rRNA from 1 species
GAAUAUUGGACAAUGGGGGGAACCCUGAUCCAGCCAUGCCGCGUGUGUGAAGAAGGCCUUUUGGUUGUAAAGCACUGUAAGCGAGGAGGAGGCUACUCUAGUUCAUACCUAGAGAUAGAGGACGUUACUCGCAGAAUAAGCACCGGCUAACUCGGUGCCAGCAGCCGCGGUAAUACCGAGGGUGCAAGUGUUAAUCGGAUUUACUGGGCGUCAAGGGCGCGUAGGUGGCCAAUUAAGUCAAAUGUGAAAUCCCCGAGCUUAACUUGGGAAUUGCAUUCGAUACUGGUUGGCUAGAGUAUGGGAGAGGAUGGUAGAAUUCCAGGUGUAGCGGUGAAAUGCGUAGAGAUCUGGAGGAAUACCGAUGGCGAAGGCAGCCAUCUGGCCUAAUACUGACACUGAGGUGCGAAAGCAUGGGGAGCAAACA